rnacentral:rRNA from 2 species
UUUGAUAAAUAUAGUGUGAUUGACCCACCUGAAAGUUCAUAUUAUUUUUAUGAAUUCCAUACCGAACUCAGAAGUGAAAUAUCAUAACGCCGAUGGUAGUAUUAAUUUGCGAGAGUAGGUAUUAUCGGAU